UACGACGGGGGCCAGCGUUGUUCGGAUUUACUGGGCGUAAAGGGCGCGUAGGCGGCUUUUUAAGUCGGGGGUGAAACGCCGGAGCUCAACUCCGGAACUGCCUUCGAUACUGAAAGUCUGGAGCCCGGUAGAGGUGGGUGGAAUGCCGAGUGUAGAGGUGAAAUUCGUAGAUAUUCGGAGGAACACCAGUGGCGAAGGCGGCUGACUGGACCGUUGCUGACGCUGAGGCGCGAAAGCGUGGGGAGCAAACAGG
rnacentral:rRNA from 1 species